rnacentral:siRNA from 1 species
AAGGAAUAAAGAUUGGUUUUGG